AUCAUUUCAACUUCAUAUUUCCUUGACAGUCGUAUAUAGUUUCUUUGUACUCAAAACUUUCGAGGGAUGGGUAGAUACGCUUUAUUAGUUGGUUGCUGCUAUUUGGGGGAUCGGGAUGAACUACGAGGCUGCUACAAUGAUGUGUUUGCAAUGAAACACCUGCUGAUAAAUAGUUUCGGUUUUCAUCGUGCUAAUGUGGAAGUUCUCACUGAUAAGCGUAGCUCCCCUUUGCUGCCCACAGGUGAGGUUAUAAGAACUGAGCUUUAUGAGAUGAUUGAGCAGGCGGAGCCCGGCGAUGUUUUGUUGUUCUAUUUUAGCGGCCAUGGAAUAUAUGAGGAUUUCAGGGGAAGCCGCGGCUGCAACAGACAGGAAGCAAUUGUCCCCUGUGACCGGAACCUCAUUUUCAGUGCAGACUUUCGAGAUAUGGUAAAUGACAUGCCAUAUGGUGCUGAUUUCGUUAUGAUAGCAGACUCCUGCCACAGUGGGGGGCUAAUAGGUCAGACCAAGGAGCAAGUUGGACCUGGAUUUCGUCCAGAUGUUUGCCAUGCCUCAAGGUCCUACAAUUACGGUAACAUUGGCGGCGGUCGCAGAGCCAAAAGGAUGCCCAUCGAAUCGGUUUUGCGGCAUUUGAGACCUUUGAGUUACGUAGACAGUUCAGAUAUUGGAACACUCUUGAGAGACAUUUACGGAAAUCAAGCCAGCAUCCUGUUCCGACGGCAUGUUGAUCCCGAUGCCAGGGUUGAUCGUGGCAUUCUUAUCAGUGGAUGCCAGUCCAACGAAACCGCAGUCGACGAUGAUGGGAAACAUCGUCGCCCUUAUGGUCUGUUUACUGCUGAACUUUGCUCUACAUUGCGGAACCUGCGCGGUCCCAUGAUGAGCAACGCAGAGCUCGUGGAGACUAUUAGAUAUAAAUUAAGAAACGAGCAUCAGCAUCCAUGUCUCUACUGCUCUGACAGGCGUGCCGAUGCACCUUUCCUGCGGGUACGCUGAAUCAAUCGACAGUAUGUAUGACUGGGAUCCUACGUACCACUACAUGAAAUUAGCUGACCAAAUAAAGCGGUUAGCUGUUUUCUUUAGAUGGUUUUUGAAGCAUUUUAGCAAUUUCAUACGGGAGUAGAACGAAAAUAUAAUAACAGGUGCUAAUUUGGCAGGAAAAGAGUUCAGAUGAUAGAGCUUGUCCUAGGGGCAUUUUUGAAACAACAAAACGUGAGCCCUUGUUGGGCAAAUUGGACCGAAGUCUUCAUUUUUCCGCACAGCAGCCGUCGCAAGGAACACUACUUUAUAUAGGAAAAUUGCGCAGGGAAAGGGGAGCUCCUUCUUCUCCCUCUCGGGAGAGAGCCGCCGCACAAGGGAACUACUUGGAAGCUUUAGUUUUUGACUUUUCUUUGGUUGGCUUUUGGCUUAACCUCAAUUCUCGUAUGUAUGUCAGAGGCCAUAAGAAAGCAAAGAAAUCAUUCUCUGUAGCAAGUUUUCUUUUUGACUUUAGUCUUUCGUCCUUUGUGGCUCUCUUGUCGCAUAUGCCUGGAACAAUUAGGACAAUGGCCACUGCUUUCUUUAC